rnacentral:rRNA from 1 species
UACGUAGGGUGCAAGCGUUGUCCGGAAUUAUUGGGCGUAAAGGGCUCGUAGGCGGUCCGUCACGUCGGGAGUGAAAACUUGGGGCUUAACCCCAAGCCUGCUUCCGAUACGGGCGGACUAGAGGUAGGCAGGGGAGAACGGAAUUCCUGGUGUAGCGGUGAAAUGCGCAGAUAUCAGGAGGAACACCGGUGGCGAAGGCGGAUCUCUGGGCCAUUACUGACGCUGAGGAGCGAAAGCGUGGGGAGCGAACAGG